rnacentral:rRNA from 1 species
GACGAACGCUGGCGGCGUGCUUAACACAUGCAAGUCGAACGGAAAGGCCCUGCUUUUGUGGGGUGCUCGAGUGGCGAAAGGGUGAGUAACACGUGAGUAACCUGCCCUUGACUUUGGGAUAACUUCAGGAAACUGGGGCUAAUACCGGAUAGGAGCUCCUGCUGCAUGGUGGGGGUUGGAAAGUUUCGGCGGUUGGGGAUGGACUCGCGGCUUAUCAGCUUGUUGGUGGGGUAGUGGCUUACCAAGGCUUUGACGGGUAGCCGGCCUGAGAGGGUGACCGGCCACAUUGGGACUGAGAUACGGCCCAGACUCCUACGUGAGGCAGCAGUGGGGAAUAUUGCACAAUGGGCGGAAGCCUGAUGCAGCAACUCCGCGUGCGGGAUGACGGCCUUCGGGUUGUAAACCGCUUUCGCCUGUGACGAAGCGUGAGUGACGGUAAUGGGUAAAGAAGCACCGGCUAACUACGUG